AUUGAACGCUGGCGGCAGGCCUAACACAUGCAAGUCGAGCGGAUGAAGGGAGCUUGCUCCUGGAUUCAGCGGCGGACGGGUGAGUAAUGCCUAGGAAUCUGCCUGGUAGUGGGGGAUAACGUCCGGAAACGGGCGCUAAUACCGCAUACGUCCUGAGGGAGAAAGUGGGGGAUCUUCGGACCUCACGCUAUCAGAUGAGCCUAGGUCGGAUUAGCUAGUUGGUGGGGUAAAGGCCUACCAAGGCGACGAUCCGUAACUGGUCUGAGAGGAUGAUCAGUCACACUGGAACUGAGACACGGACCAGACUCCUACGGGAGGCAGCAGUGGGGAAUAUUGGACAAUGGGCGAAAGCCUGAUACAGCCAUGCCGCGUGUGUGAAGAAGGUCUUCGGAUUGUAAAGCACUUUAAGUUGGGAGGAAGGGCAGUAAGUUAAUACCUUGCUGUUUUGACGUUACCAACAGAAUAAGCACCGGCUAACUUCGUG
rnacentral:rRNA from 1 species